rnacentral:rRNA from 1 species
AAAGAAAAUUCGAUUCCCUUAGUAGCGGCGAGCGAAACGGGAAGAGCCCAAACCAACAAGCUUGCUUGUUGGGGUUGUAGGACACUCUAUACGGAGUUACAAAGGACGACAUUAGACGAAUCAUCUGGAAAGAUGAAUCAAAGAAGGUAAUAAUCCUGUAGUCGAAAAUGUUGUCUCUCUUGAGUGGAUCCUGAGUACGACGGAACACGUGAAAUUCCGUCGGAAUCUGGGAGGACCAUCUCCUAAGGCUAAAUACUCUCUAGUGACCGAUAGUGAACCAGUACCGUGAGGGAAAGGUGAAAAGCACCCCGGAAGGGGAGUGAAAUAGAACCUGAAACCGUGUGCUUACAAGUAGUCAGAGCCCGUUAAUGGGUGAUGGCGUGCCUUUUGUAGAAUGAACCGGCGAGUUACGAUUUGAUGCAAGGUUAAGCAGUAAAUGUGGAGCCGUAGCGAAAGCGAGUCUGAAUAGGGCGUUUAGUAUUUGGUCGUAGACCCGAAACCAGGUGAUCUACCCUUGGUCAGGUUGAAGUUCAGGUAACACUGAAUGGAGGACCGAACCGACUUACGUUGAAAAGUGAGCGGAUGAACUGAGGGUAGCGGAGAAAUUCCAAUCGAACCUGGAGAUAGCUGGUUCUCUCCGAAAUAGCUUUAGGGCUAGCCUCAAGUGAUGAUUAUUGGAGGUAGAGCACUGUUUGGACGAGGGGCCCCUCUCGGGUUACCGAAUUCAGACAAACUCCGAAUGCCAAUUAAUUUAACUUGGGAGUCAGAACAUGGGUGAUAAGGUCCGUGUUCGAAAGGGAAACAGCCCAGACCACCAGCUAAGGUCCCAAAAUAUAUGUUAAGUGGAAAAGGAUGUGGCGUUGCCCAGACAACUAGGAUGUUGGCUUAGAAGCAGCCAUCAUUUAAAGAGUGCGUAAUAGCUCACUAGUCGAGUGACACUGCGCCGAAAAUGUACCGGGGCUAAACAUAUUACCGAAGCUGUGGAUUGUCCUUUGGACAAUGGUAGGAGAGCGUUCUAAGGGCGUUGAAGCAUGAUCGUAAGGACAUGUGGAGCGCUUAGAAGUGAGAAUGCCGGUGUGAGUAGCGAAAGACGGGUGAGAAUCCCGUCCACCGAUUGACUAAGGUUUCCAGAGGAAGGCUCGUCCGCUCUGGGUUAGUCGGGUCCUAAGCUGAGGCCGACAGGCGUAGGCGAUGGAUAACAGGUUGAUAUUCCUGUACCACCUAUA